rnacentral:rRNA from 1 species
CCUACGGGAGGCAGCAGUGGGGGAUCUUGCACAAUGGGGGGAACCCUGAUGCAGCGACGCCGCGUGGGUGAAGAAGCGCCUCGGCGCGUAAAGCUCUGUCAGCAGGGAAGAAAAUGACGGUAACUGACGAAGAAGCCCCGGCUAACUACGUGACCGCAGCCGCGGUAAAACGUAGGGGGCAAGCGUUAUCCGGAUUUACUGGGUGUAAAGGGGGCGCAGACGGCGAUGCAAGCCAGGAGUGAAAGCCCGGGGCCCAACCCCUGGACUGCUCUUGGAAAUGCGUGGCUGGAGUGCAGGAGGGGCAGGGGGAAUUCCUGGUGUAGCGGUGAAAUGCGUAGAUAUCAGGAGGAACACCGGUGGCGAAGGCGGCCUGCUGGACUGCAACUGACGUUGAGGCCCGAAAGCGGGGGGAGCAAACAGGAUUAGAUACCCCUGUAGUC